UCCAGGCUAGAAGCCAAGUCACACAGGGCAUGAGCAGCUUCAGAAAUAACCACCAUUCAGGUUUGUUUACUGCAAGGAGCUCUCGAAGGAAACCAUCAAAUUAAGGAAAAUAAAGUUGAGGUGCUGGAGUGGAGCACAGACAAGCAACAGGGAGAUGAGAUUUUCAUCACUGCAAUGUCUUCUACAGGUUUUCCUUUGCCUCUGUACCUGCAGGAAGAAAAUCUCUUGGCAAGCAUCGGGUUAUGGACUUUGUUUCCAUUUGGACCAUUCUGCUUCCUGCUGAAAAUGAGCAACUGACUGCACUGGAAACUUUCUGCAAUUUGCUCAGGUUCAUAAUUUUGAAGGAGAGAGAAGAUUUUAAAGAUGCGAAAUAACUAUUUGUGGGUGUCUAAGUUUACUUGAGUGUCUGAAGUUAUUCCAUAAUAUACCAGUGGGGUAUCAUGCUGAUUCAUAUUUCUUCAUUCUCUGUGUUCAGUCUCAUAGAGUGCCUUGUUAGAAUCAAGAGCAGGAGAAAGGACGAGCAUGCAGAUAGGUUUCCCUGAAUAAUGCUCAUGGUUCAUCCUUUGGAUUCAAGCAGUUGGCUUAAAAAAAAUAGGUUUUUUAGAGAGAAGGAAAAACUGAAUGCAGCGGGAGUGUCUUCCAUACAUACUCCUGAAGGCCGAUAAAGUCUAAUCUUCUUGAACACAAAAAAACCAAAUAGUAGGAGAUCCCUCCUUUGCCUAUGCUUCCAGCCCACAUCUUGAACUCUGGUCAAUAAUCUCACUUUCUCUUUCUGGACUUCUGCCCCAUGUCUGCAUGUCCUCUGCUUCUCCCUCCUCGCUUCAGCAGAUAUUCCUCAAUGGCCAGGCAGUUGCCUGUGGUGUUUGGGUGAUGACAUGUUUCUUGGCUCUGAUUUGGAGACUGCUACAGUUUCAUAAGCAAGUGCUUCUUUUCAGCUCUCUGGAAUGAGGGGCAGUUGUUACACCUUGGGCCUCAAUUACAUUUUGUCCAGCCAAGACCAACUUCUUCAUCACCUCACUGAGCCAGCACUGCUCCUGCACACUCUGUUGGCUUGUCCUCCAACAUCCUUCUGAGUCUGCUGCUUUCCUCUUCUCCCAUUGCUCUGAUACCUCCUUCAUCUCAAACAGACACAAAAAUGUUCAUGAACAACUGAAAUCCCCUUUAAUGCUUGCUUUUCCUUCAGGUCCUAAAACCUGACUGUAUUUUGGAUAGAGAUUGCUGUUGUUUCAUCUCUUUGGUUCCAUGCUACUGCUUGUAUUAUAAUUUUACAAUAAUAAUACAAUUUUAACUCCCAGAAACCUGCCUGAUUGUUUUUUUCUGUUUCUUUGCUCAUACAGACUAACAGCUUGGAUGCCUGCUGGAUUCUGAGCAACAGAACCUGCCCCGUGUGACACCCAGUGUUUUCUCACAAGUUAUUCUCCUCACUGUUAGUGGUCUUCAAUAGAAAACCUCUCAAAACAAAAGUAGGCAAAAAAUGCACCCAUCAGAAAUUGUGUGUGUUUGUGUGUGUUUGGUCCUGGAGCAGAAGAUCAGGAACAAAAGUUGGUUGAGCUUUUUACCUCUGACUUGACAGGGAACUAUUAGAGGGCAUAUCAGAGAAAGCAGAGAUUAAUGAAGGAUUCCUAGAACAGUAGAGGACUUUAGAAAUUCUUUUUAGGGGAACAGCACUAGUUCUUCAAAGAAAUGAAUGGCUCUGCUGCCAAGGGUUUCAGAGCAUUAAUUAUCCAUUUUUGCCAAGAGUUUGGAAACAGAACCAUGGAAUAGUUUGGGUUGGAGAGACCUUUAAAGGUCAUGUAGUCCAAGCCCCCCACUGUAAGCAGAGACAUCUGUAAUUCCAACAGGUUGUUCAGACUCCUGUCCAAAUUCUCCCUUAACAUUUCCAGGGAUGAGGCUUCUGCCACUGCCAGAGACUCAGCUCUGGUAAAUCACUUGGGAAUCCUCUCACUCGCCUCAGCUCCUAUCCAGACCAGAUCUCAACAGAGAUUUUAAAAGAUUUCUUCAGAAAAGCAUCAGAAACAGUUUCAAUUCAGUGCUGGGAAAUGAGACACUCGGCACUAACAGAUUUAAUAUUCAUCUUGUCACAUACUAGGUUGCCCUACUGAUCUUUGAGCUGCUCACACAAAAAGCAUCCUAUCGAGUUUCUGCUGAAAUAUCUUGAAUGCUCAGCAGCACAACCAUGCAGAGGAAUAUACAUAACAGGAAAUUAUUUUUUCUCCAAAAUUUUGAUGCACUGUUUACAGAUAAAAUGGCAAAAUACAGUAAAUAUAUACUUAUGCACAUUUGAUUGUAUACUUAUAAAAAUAUUCAUCUUAUAAACACUUUAUUUGAAAUUUCUGAUUAUUAAAACAUAAAUUAAAUUUUGUUAUCUAUGUGUACUCAACUUUGUUAGAAAUGCUAUUAAAGCUUCAGGCUGUUUAAACAAUAAUACUCUGGAUAUCUAGAAAGCCUUCCAGGCUUCAUGAGGGCUUUUUUCAGGCUCUUCAUAGACAUUAAUUAAAGCUGUGAGAAACUCUGUGUUCUUGGUACUAUUUACACCUGUUUAAUACUGCCUCACGUGCUACAUCUUAGGUCAAACAGCAAAUCAGUAACAAAACCAGUGUCAGAAAUGGAGUAUCAGAACUCCUGAGACCUGCCAGAGCUAUUGGACAUUGUCUUCCACCAGACCACACUAUCAGUUAUAGAAAAUAACUUUUGAUUGCUCAGAGAACUAUCCAAGUACAGUUACUAUUAACACUUAUCACAAAAAGCUGUGUAAGCAGACUGAAGGAAACUCCCCCCAAACCUGUAAAUGUGCUAUUGACAGGCAAUUUCAUUAAAUCUGGUUUCACUUUAUUUGGGUUAUAUAUUCCAUUUCAUAAAAACCUUAUCGUAAAGAUCUAAAUCUGUGAAGAAAGACAUUAAGCAAUUCUUUAUUAUCUCUGCUGGUCCAUUAAAAUAAAUCUCAUCUAUCCCUUCCCCUAUUAUUCCAGGGAGUGCAAGGGCUGAUGUAUUUUGGCAUAAUUGCUUUGGCAUCCCAGGUUUGUUCUGUCACUGCUGUUGUGCAAGUGCAUUUGAAGGAGUGAUCAUCUUUUUUCUGUAUGGCCCAUCACCAUGGUGUAUAAGCAAUAUACAGGCUGCAGAUUUUGUAAUAGGUAAAGUUUUCAAAAAUGUUAUUGGCAAUUUUUUUGAUAAAGACACAUGUCAGACUGCACCCAGUUUAUUCAUACACUGUAAGGAGUUCUCUGGCUUCCUAAUUUAUUAACAAUGGUCAUUUGUUACACUGACAACUUAGAAAAACAGAUCACUCAGAAGUCAUGAUGGGGUAAUUCUGCUUCUUGGAGCCUCUGCAAUGAAUCACCAUUUUCCCUCCCUCCCUUGACCUAAUUUCAAAAUCAUAUACCUGUGUAAAAUAUUGUGAUGAGAAUUGUGUCUAAUUAUCUUCUAAAUUUUUCUUUUAAUUGCUAGAAGGAUACCCAUUCUUGAAUAAGGGAGGUAUUAAUGAUGUAAUAGUGUUAGAGAGUCCUUGAAAUCUAGAUUAAUUAUUAGUUGUGUGGACUUCUGAGAGUUUUUGAUGUAUUCAUUUGCAUUCACAAAGAUGGCUUUUUAAUUAAAGAGAGUUUUUGAACUUAUACAAAUGAGCCUUUUGCACAUGUGCCCAGAAACGUGGAAAGUGUUAAAAGUGAGAAGAAUCGAAAUUUUCCUGAAACAUUACCUCCCGCUGCAAACACUGAACGGCCAAAAGCAUUUGAAACUCCAGACCUCAUGUCAGCAGCUCCAGCAGAUCUCGAAGACCAAGCAGAAUUAUAAAAGCCUGUGCUUGUUUCAAAUACCACAGAAAUGGUUCUGUACAAAAGAACAAUGUCAGAAUAUCUGAUUUCCAUUUCAGCUUCCACCGCAGCAUAUGUUUCUACCUUUACCUGCAUGCUUAUUUUUUCCUCUUUAGAAAUUAGAUCCUCUUUCCCAAGGACUCCAAUGUUAAAUGUUUCCUCAUUGUAACUCUUAUGAUCCCUUGUUGCCACCUCAGACUUCUGGUUUUUCUUUCUUUUUCUUUGUUCGAGAUCAAGAGAACAAACCGAAAGCUCUGAGUCUCCAGGUCUGUUUCACAGAUUUAUAAAUGGUACCAUAUUUCCUGUAUUACAGCCAUUCAGUUCUUAAUGCAGCCUAACAUCUAAUUUACAAUUUUGACUGCUGCUACGUAUUGAAUUUGAGCAGAUGUCUUUACUGAGCUGUCCAUAGUGAUGCCUAAAUCAUUUUCCGAGAAGUUCACAGCAAAUUUGGAUUCCAGAGAAGUGAAUACAUAGUUUAAUUUGUACCUUUUAAAGUAAAUUAUUUUGUAAAGAAGUGGAUCUCAUGUUACAGAAUACUGUCUGAUUUCCUCAUUUUUGUGAGAUAUACCCAGAGCCACUCAUUCACCUCUGCCAAGGCUGGCUGCCUAAUUUCAGUUUUCAGCAUGAGCAUAAUACCAGCCCCUUAUCACAAUUGUGGUUCUAGUCCAGAACUGGGACUUUAAACCUCCUCCAUUCUCUGUCUCUUCCACAGUUCCCACUCACACACAAAACUGCAAUCCAGACUUACAGGUGUCCUUAUUUUGGUCUUGUGAUGACUUUUUAAAGUCUGUAUCACGAACAUCCACUGAUCUUCCCACAUCUCCUCUUGUUUAAGUCUUUGUAAGGGGGAAUAAAACAGAUUUAUUUGAA